rnacentral:rRNA from 1 species
AACUUCCGUUAAUUGAUUAUGACGUGCUUGCACUGAAUGAGAUUUUAACACGAAGUGAGUGGCGGACGGGUGAGUAACACGUGGGUAACCUGCCCAGAAGCAGGGGAUAACACCUGGAAACAGAUGCUAAUACCGUAUAACAGAGAAAACCGCCUGGUUUUCUUUUAAAAGAUGGCUCUGCUAUCACUUCUGGAUGGACCCGCGGCGCAUUAGCUAGUUGGUGAGGUAACGGCUCACCAAGGCGAUGAUGCGUAGCCGACCUGAGAGGGUAAUCGGCCACAUUGGGACUGAGACACGGCCCAGACUCCUACGGGAGGCAGCAGUAGGGAAUCUUCCACAAUGGACGCAAGUCUGAUGGAGCAACGCCGCGUGAGUGAAGAAGGGUUUCGGCUCGUAAAGCUCUGUUGUUAAAGAAGAACGUGGGUGAGAGUAACUGUUCACCCAGUGACGGUAUUUAACCAGAAAGCCACGGCUAACUACGUGCCAGCAGCCGCGGUAAUACGUAGGUGGCAAGCGUUAUCCGGAUUUAUUGGGCGUAAAGCGAGCGCAGGCGGUCUUUUAAGUCUAAUGUGAAAGCCUUCGGCUCAACCGAAGAAGUGCAUUGGAAACUGGGAGACUUGAGUGCAGAAGAGGACAGUGGAACUCCAUGUGUAGCGGUGAAAUGCGUAGAUAUAUGGAAGAACACCAGUGGCGAAGGCGGCUGUCUGGUCUGUAACUGACGCUGAGGCUCGAAAGCAUGGGUAGCGAACAGGAUUAGAUACCCUGGUAGUCCAUGCCGUAAACGAUGAUUACUAAGUGUUGGAGGGUUUCCGCCCUUCAGUGCUGCAGCUAACGCAUUAAGUAAUCCGCCUGGGGAGUACGACCGCAAGGUUGAAACUCAAAAGAAUUGACGGGGGCCCGCACAAGCGGUGGAGCAUGUGGUUUAAUUCGAAGCUACGCGAAGAACCUUACCAGGUCUUGACAUCUUCUGCCAACCUAAGAGAUUAGGCGUUCCCUUCGGGGACAGAAUGACAGGUGGUGCAUGGUUGUCGUCAGCUCGUGUCGUGAGAUGUUGGGUUAAGUCCCGCAACGAGCGCAACCCUUAUUACUAGUUGCCAGCAUUCAGUUGGGCACUCUAGUGAGACUGCCGGUGACAAACCGGAGGAAGGUGGGGACGACGUCAAAUCAUCAUGCCCCUUAUGACCUGGGCUACACACGUGCUACAAUGGAUGGUACAACGAGUCGCGAAACCGCGAGGUUUAGCUAAUCUCUUAAAACCAUUCUCAGUUCGGACUGUAGGCUGCAACUCGCCUACACGAAGUCGGAAUCGCUAGUAAUCGCGGAUCAGCAUGCCGCGGUGAAUACGUUCCCGGGCCUUGUACACACCGCCCGUCACACCAUGAGAGUUUGUAACACCCAAAGCCGGU